UUAAUUACGACUGUUUGUGCCAUGAAUUAUGAAAAUCUCGUUUGGACAAUAUUCAGUUCGUUUGAUUUUGCCGUUAUGACAGUGUUGUGUAAAAUACGUAUGGUCAUGGUGUAAUAAAUAAUAAAUUGAGUCAAAACCGAAACACAAACCAGCUGAUAUUAGUAGUAUUCUACUUUACUCUAUGUCAGUAUUAAACCGAAAAUUCUAAUAAUUAUUUAUCUGUGUGACUGUGUGUAAGGAAAGUAAGAAAAUGUUAAAGUUCCUCCCCCAGACAAAAAUCUAUUCUGUUUUUUUUUUUUUUAAUGGUGUGUUAAAUUGAAGUGAUUUUAGACUAGUUAUUUGUUCAUAAUGGUUGAAAAUAGAUAAAAAGUGUCAUUACUGGUUACUAUUUCAAUAUUUACUGUGAAAAAAGGAGUCAUAAAAGUAUAUCCAUCGAGAACUUAUGGAUUUCCAAAAUAUCUCAGCCGUAUUAAUAAUAGACGUAGAUAAUUACUUUUACAAUUUAGAAACAAUGCAAAGGAAAAUUGGUAUCUAUCACUAAACGACGUCUUAUCCAAUUAGACGAUUUAUUUAAGACAAGUAUCGACACUCGACAGCUAUUUCCAAAGUGGUUUUAUGAGAUAAAAAGGCGAAGAGGAGAUACAUUACAACAGUAAAUUCCACGAUAGUUUAUUGUGUUUCAAUAAAUAAAACAAACGUAUUACAACAUAAUACAUUUGUUAUUAAGUACAUAGAACUUU